CAGGUUGCUCGUUAGGGUCACUCCACUACGGAUGCACUACUAUUUUUGCUUCAACCCGUCUACGAGACCCUCGAUAGCGGAAAUGCUUGUGCUCGUUUCUUUUUUUGCCGACUUUCGCAAAGGAUUCGACCGUAUUGACCACCAUAUUCUCAUGAAGGGGCUGAUGGAAUUGUAUAUUCAUCCUGUCUUAUAUAAUUGGAUUAACGCUUUUCUUUCAAAUAGAAAACAAGCUGUCAGAAUAGGGGGACUUUGUCAGACUGGAAAUCCCCAAAUGGUGGUAUACCUCAGGGAACUAAACUUGGUGUUAUUCUUUUCUCGGUUAUGACAAAUAAGCUAAUAUCUGACUGGCAUUUAAGGACAAAGUUUGUCGAUGACACAGCUGCGCUAUCAUUCCCAGGAACUCAACUAGUUUUCUGAACCAUGCGGUAGAUGAAUUACAUCAAUUCUCUGUAAAUCAUAACAUGAGUCUCAACCCACUUAAAUGCAAGGAGAUGGUAAUUAAUUUUAUGAAUAAUAACAACUCCAUAAUGAGGCCUUUUGUAAUAGGCAG